rnacentral:rRNA from 1 species
UACGUAGGGUGCAAGCGUUGUCCGGAAUUAUUGGGCGUAAAGAGCUCGUAGGCGGUCUGUCGCGUCGGCUGUGAAAUCCCGAGGCUCAACCUCGGGUCUGCAGUCGAUACGGGCAAACUGGAGUGUUGCAGGGGAGACUGGAAUUCCUGGUGUAGCGGUGAAAUGCGCAGAUAUCAGGAAGAACACCCGUGGCUAAGGCGGUUCUCUAGUACGGUACUGACGCUGAGACGCGAAAGCGUGGGGGAGCGAACAGG